AUGUACGAUUCAAGGUCUCUUCUUUUGGUUGGUUCUGUGAGGAUUUUAAUAUCCAAAAUUCAGUUGACUUGUGUUUCUUUUAAUGAGGAGUUUGGGUACUUUGAUAUAUAUGUUGUAUUUCUAACCUGUCAAUUUGCUGGCAUUGAGGCUACCAGUUGUGCUGCACGCUUUGUGUCGCAUGACCAAAUAGUUCAUGUAAAUGUCAGGUGCCGGACGUGUUCCAGGUUCUUGUGGGGGGCGCACAAGGCCUUGCUAUCCAAGUCGAGGGAGUCACUCACCACGAGGACCCUGCACUCGUAG
rnacentral:rRNA from 1 species